rnacentral:rRNA from 1 species
UACGUAGGGUGCGAGCGUUAAUCGGAAUUACUGGGCGUAAAGUGUGCGCAGGCGGCCGCGCAAGUCGAGUGUGAAAGCCCCGGGCUUAACUUGGGAAUUGCGCUCGAAACUACGUGGCUAGAGUGUGGCAGAGGGAGGUGGAAUUCCACGUGUAGCGGUGAAAUGCGUAGAGAUGUGGAGGAACACCGAUGGCGAAGGCAGCAUCCUGGGCCAACACUGACGCUCAUGCACGAAAGCGUGGGGAGCAAACAGG